rnacentral:rRNA from 1 species
GAUGAACGCUGGCGGCGUGCUUAACACAUGCAAGUCGAACGAUGAUCCCAGCUUGCUGGGGGAUUAGUGGCGAACGGGUGAGUAACACGUGAGUAACCUGCCCUUGACUCUGGGAUAGGCCUGGGAAACUGGGUCUAAUACCGGAUAUGACUCCUCAUCGCAGGGUGGGGGGUGGAAAGCUUUUGUGGUUUUGGAUGGACUCGCGGCCUAUCAGCUUGUUGGUGGGGUAAUGGCCUACCAAGGCGACGACGGGUAGCCGGCCUGAGAGGGUGACCGGCCACACUGGGACUGAGACACGGCCCAGACUCCUACGGGAGGCAGCAGUGGGGAAUAUUGCACAAUGGGCGCAAGCCUGAUGCAGCGACGCCGCGUGAGGGAUGACGGCCUUCGGGUUGUAAACCUCUUUCAGUAGGGAAGAAGCGUAAGUGACGGUACCUGCAGAAGAAGCGCCGGCUAACUACGUGCCAGCAGCCGCCGUAA